CCCUUAGAUGUCCUGGGCCGCACGCGUGCUACACUGAUGCAUACAGCGAGUACUUUCCAGCUCCGCGAGGCAGCUGGUAAUCAGCAAUAUGCAUCGUGCUGGGGAUAGAUCUUUGGAAUUAUAGAUCUUGAACGAGGAAUUCCUAGUAAGCGCAAGUCAUUAGCUUGCGCUGAUUAAGUCCCUGCCCUUUGUACACACCGCCCGUCGCUACUACCGAUUGAAUGGUUCAGUGAGAUAAUCGGACAGAAAACUUGGCAACUGGCAACAGUUGACGUGCAUUUUUGGAAGACGAUCAAACUUGGUCAUUUAGAGGAAGUAAAAGUCGUAACA
rnacentral:rRNA from 1 species